rfam:Ictidomys tridecemlineatus contig061521, whole genome shotgun sequence.
UGGGUUGUGGCUCAGUGGUAGAGCGCUCACCUAGCACCUGUGAGGUCCUGGGUUCAAUUCUCAGCACCACAU